CAAAAAGACAGUCUCAGUUCAGAUUGUAGGCUGAAACUCGCCUAUAUGAAGUCGGAAUUGCUAGUAAUCGCAGAUCAGCAUGCUGCGGUGAAUACGUUCCCGGGCCUUGUACACACCGCCCGUCACACCAUGAGAGUCGAUAACACCCGAAGCCUGUAGUCUAACCAUAAGGAGGACGCAGUCGAAGGUGGGAUUGAUAAUUAGGGUGAAGUCGUAACAAGGUACC
rnacentral:rRNA from 1 species